AAGAACUGUGACAAAACAGAAUCAAAGACAACGGACAAAGUCACAAAACAGAGUCUGAAUCCAUGAGAACACUAAUUAUAUUUUAUUACCAUGCAUGUCUUAAUCUGGCAACAUAAUUCUAAAUAAGGUUAUGUUAAAUAAACACAUGACAUCAAGAAACCUCUGCAUCCAUCGCUCUUGCUUCACUGUUGCACUUGCACAAAGAGGAAUAGUUAACAAAGCUCAGCAGUCAGCAAGUUAGCAACAAUAUCACAAAAGGUAUAUAAAAAAAAAAACAAAAAAAAACAGAGCUAAUUAAGUUAGCAACACUAAAAUCAAGGUUACAUACAUGCUUCGAUUCUUUUUAAUUCCAGAGGAAAACUUUCACAGUUCUACUUACUAGCUUCAGAAAAUUUAUCACGUAUAUUCUCAAUCAAAUAAACUAUUACACAAGAAAUUAUAUGCUCAAUAUCAUCUCAUGGGAAAUGUAACAGGGGAAAUUUGGUUUCCUAAGGAUUUUGUGCAAAGAUGGGAACUUGAAGCUGCCAAGAACAUUCAAGAUGUUUUUUUUUUGAUACAACUCAAUCUUCAUACUAAACUCUCAUGAUCUCAUCACAUAGACAAUAAUUAAUCAAAUCAAUCAUUAUUAUGUAAUUAGUUAUCUAACUUAUCAUCAAGAAAAUAUAGGAAACUAGCUAUAUGACAUUACUAUUACUAAAAAAAUCCAAUGCAAUCACCAAAGUCUCAUGAUACUAAUUAACUUCUCAAACUCAAUAAGCGAAUUGAAAGAAAGAGAGACUCAGUUAGCACAAUUGACUGAUCUGAAAAAUCAAAAUAUUUGAAUGGAAACUUAGAGGUCGAUCAUGAGCUCUUCCUUGGAACGAACCAGACGCCAAAUAAAGCAGCUUGGCUCUUCAAUUCCUUGAGAGCCACGGCUUUGUCUGGAUUUUGCAUGGAACAUUCCUGGAAACACGUCUCUCUCUGCGCUCUCUUUUCCAAAACCC
rnacentral:lncRNA from 1 species